GCUCCAACAGCCUUCUGUGUGGUGCUUACAUCUCAGUGACUCCUGAGUGAGGCCUUUGACUUUGGACCUUUCGAGAGCAGAAGGAGGCCUCUGGAAGCAACAGACUCCAACCUUGCAGACAGCUCUGCCUAAAGUGCUCCACAAGGGGCAAGGGCUGCCCAGCUGGAAGAAGCUUCGGGAGAAGGAAUGCAGGUGAGGAAACCAAGGCUCAGAGAGGUGAGGCCCUUGCCUGGGUUGCAGGUGGGAGAUGGCGAGCGAGCCGGACAUCAAAGUAAGUGUCCAGCUGCCAGGCCCCAUCUCUGCGUGAGCUGGAGCAAGGUUUUGACCACUGAGAUUCCUUCUGGGGCCUGCUACGGGUCCAGCUGGAUAAGCUGCCCCCUCCCUGGACGCAGCCUUGAAAGCAUCUUCCGUUUGGGCACGUGGAGCA